rnacentral:lncRNA from 1 species
GCAAUACAUAAAUUUCUAAUAAUCUACAGCAAUAAUAUUUAAUAAAUUAUGUAAAAUAUAUUUAUGUAUAUAUACAGUCUGAAUUUAGCCACUGUGAUCUUUGUACCCCUAAGUAAAAUUUAUCUCUCUGUGUGUAUAUGUGUGUAUGUGUAUAGAGGGUCAAAAUCAGAGAGACAAAGAAUGCAAAUGUGGCAAAAUAUUAAAAAUUGCUGAAUCUGGAUAAAGGGCAUACAGGAGUUGUCUGCUAUUCUUGCAAUAUUUAAGUUUAAAAUUAGUUUUUAAAAAGAUUAUCACUGAUUCCCUUCUGUAUCUUGUGGAUUUUCACCUCCAAUCCUUCACUGAUAUCAUUCAUACCAAAACUCUGGGUCCCAACCUGGGACAUCACCUUUUCCAAAUCCUACCUGGUUCUCUAGGGCCAACCCAAAUCUUGGCCAGCUAUUUACUGCUCCUUUUCCUGCAUUCCUCUAGCACUUUGAUCUUAAUAACAUUUGGUGUUAAGUCUUGUCCUGUUGAUUGGUUUUGUUUCAGGGUAAAGACAACAUAGUAGCUAUGUGCACACACUAUGAAAUCAGAAUAUUUAGGUUUACAUCUCAGUUCUGUCACUUUUAACCUGUUAUGUCUUGGGAAGAUUCCUUACCUUCUUUUUGUCUUGGUUUCUUUAAAGGAAGCAGCUUUUCAUGAAGGGAAAAAGAAUAUGCACUGAGAUCCAGAGACGUGCUUCUAGGUCUAGAAUUGCCACAGUGUAUGAUGUUAGAUAAACUCAUUUUUGUUUCAUAGGCCUUAGGUCUCCCAUCUGUAACAUAAGGAGUUUGAAGGAAUAAAAAGUUCUUUACUCUGGGUAUGUUCUAGAAUUGCUUGGGGAGCUAUAAAAACACAUUUAAAACAUGUCAAUGUUAAACUCCCCACCAAAAUUCUGAUUUCAUUGGGUAGGGGUAAAUCCCAGUUUUUAAUUUAAAAUAUUUUAUUGGUGGAUAUUAAUUAUACAGUAUAGUAUGUUUCACUGUGUCAUAUUCAUAUAUGCAUAUAACAAAAUUUGAUCCAUUUUCCAACACAGUACCUCCCUUUGUCUUCCCUUCUUCCCUCCCCAUGAUCCCCUUCAUCUACCCUAAUGGUCUCUCUUCUAUUUCCAUUGGGUCUCCCAUUUUUCCUUCUCUCUAGUGUCC